GCCCGCUCAGAAACUCAAAGGAAGUUGACGGGGCCCGCACAAGCGGUGGAGUAUGUGGUUUAAUUCGAUGCAACGCGAAGAACCUUACCUGGUCUUGACAUCCCGGAGACCCUUAGGAAACUAGGGGUGCUUCCAUCUGGAAGAAUCUGGAGACAGGUGCUGCAUGGCUGUCGUCAGCUCGUGUCGUGAGAUGUUGGGUUAAGUCCCGCAACGAGCGCAACCCUUGCCUUUAGUUGCCAGCAGUUCGGCUGGGCACUCUAAAGGGACUGCCGGUGUUAAACCGGAGGAAGGUGGGGAUGACGUCAAGUCCUCAUGGCCUUUAUGACCAGGGCUACACACGUACUACAAUGGCCGAUACAAAGGGCAGCGACACUGCGAGGUGAAGCCAAUCCCGUAAAAUCGGUCUCAGUCCGGAUUGGAGUCUGCAACUCGACUCCAUGAAGUUGGAAUCGCUAGUAAUCGUGGAUCAGCAUGCCACGGUGAAUACGUUCCCGGGCCUU
rnacentral:rRNA from 1 species